GUGCCAGCAGCCCGCGGUAAUACGUAGGUGGCAAGCGUUGUCCGGAUUUAUUGGGCGUAAAGCGAGCGCAGGCGGUUCCUUAAGUCUGAUGUGAAAGCCCCCGGCUCAACCGGGGAGGGUCAUUGGAAACUGGGGAACUUGAGUGCAGAAGAGGAGAGUGGAAUUCCAUGUGUAGCGGUGAAAUGCGUAGAUAUAUGGAGGAACACCAGUGGCGAAGGCGACUCUCUGGUCUGUAACUGACGCUGAGGCUCGAAAGCGUGGGUAGCAAACAGGAUUAGAUACCCUGGUAGUCC
rnacentral:rRNA from 1 species